UACGUAGGUGGCAAGCGUUGUCCGGAUUUAUUGGGUUUAAAGGGUGCGUAGGCGGCUUUGUAAGUCAGUGGUGAAAUAUGGCAGCUCAACUGUCAGGGUGCCAUUGAUACUGCAGAGCUUGAGUACAGAUGAGGUAGGCGGAAUUGACGGUGUAGCGGUGAAAUGCUUAGAUAUCGUCAAGAACACCGAUAGCGAAGGCAGCUUACUGGGCUGUAACUGACGCUGAGACGCGAAAGCGUGGGGAGCAAACAGG
rnacentral:rRNA from 1 species